CGGGGUGUGGCGCAGUUGGCUAGCGCACCUGCUUUGGGAGCAGGGGGUCGUGGGUUCGAGUCCCGCUACCCCGA
rnacentral:tRNA from 1 species